CAAGCCACACCUUGUAGUAGUCGAAGGUUUCGAUGAACCAUAUAAAUUGAAUUUGCUUCGAACAGUCUUGAUCAAGAGUGUGUGAAGCUUUCUAUGAGUUGUAGUGUUUGCAUUGUUACAGAGAAGAAAUGUCUGAAACAGAUGCAAGAGGGCUGAAGAGCUUGAUUUUCGUAUACCAUGCACUAAAGUCGUUGUUGGCUUGCAAUAAGACUUUGUUGGUGACUAUAACUCUUGUUAGGCAUAAGUGCUCCCUUAGUUGAGUUGUAAAGCUUGAGGGUUUUUGGUUAUUUGUGAAUGCUAGGAGUUCAC
rnacentral:lncRNA from 1 species